GACUGAACCGCUCCGGUGGCUUAGUGGCUAUAGCAUCCGUCUUGGAUGCAGGAGGUCGCGGGUAUGAACCCCAGCCGAGUUA